UACGGAGGGUGCAAGCGUUAUCCGGAAUCACUGGGUUUAAAGGGUGCGUAGGCGGUUAUGUAAGUCAGGGGUGGAAGGUCACAGCUUAACUGUGAGAUUGCCUUUGAAACUGUGUAACUUGAAUCAGAUAGAGGUUAGUGGAAUGCGACAUGUAGCGGUGAAAUGCAUAGAUAUGUCGUGGAAUACCGAUUGCGAAGGCAGCUAACUGGGUCUUGAUUGACGCUGAGGCACGAAAGCGUGGGGAGCGAACAGGAUUA
rnacentral:rRNA from 1 species